AGAAAGGUAGUUUAUUCCAAGAACGUCGGUUUCAUAAUCCGAAAGUAGCAACGGCUUCUUUCUG
rnacentral:tRNA from 1 species